rnacentral:rRNA from 1 species
AUACGUAGGGUGCGAGCGUUAAUCGGAAUUACUGGGCGUAAAGCGUGCGCAGGCGGUUUUGUAAGACAGUGGUGAAAUCCCCGGGCUCAACCUGGGAACUGCCAUUGUGACUGCAAGGCUGGAGUGCGGCAGAGGGGGAUGGAAUUCCGCGUGUAGCAGUGAAAUGCGUAGAUAUGCGGAGGAACACCGAUGGCGAAGGCAAUCCCCUGGGCCUGCACUGACGCUCAUGCACGAAAGCGUGGGGAGCAAACAGGAUUAGAUACCCUGGUAGUCCACGCCCUAAACGGUGUCAACUGGUUGUUGGGAAUUUAUUUUCUCAGUAACGAAGCUAACGCGUGAAGUUGACCGCCUGGGGAGUACGGCCGCAAGGUUAAAACUCAAAGGAAUUGACGGGU